CCCUUCCCAGACCUCAUUUAAGGGUUGGCAGUGGAGGUAAAGGUGUCACUCUGAUGAUCCUUGUGUAUCUGAGGUCUUCUGAAGAUUCUCUUCUUUGGAAAGUCCCUGUGGAAGUGUCAGCCAAAAUGAAUAACAACCGGAAACAAUAAAAAGGAGAAAGAUAAAAUCAGGAAGAGUAAGCUCUGUUUAUAGAUGUGGACAGCUUUUCCAGUAAACCACCAAAUAAAGAAUUUCUUCGAAUUUGGAAAGUCUGAGAAUGGGACAGUAGGAAAAGCGAUUGGGCUCAGAAAAUCUUCAGAAUGGGAAAAAUGUAAAUAAAAAAUGGGGGAGAAAAAGAAAGGGUAUGAGGCUUUUUUUUUCUUUUUUCUCUUGAGUGCAUUUGCAGAAGAAGAGAGAGGGUUGAGUCAAGAUCUGCACACCGCAGACAUGGUGUCACCCACCCCCAGAGUCAAAGCAGGAGGGUGGUGCUCCUGGUGUGAGCUUCAGAGAGCUGCUGUUUGCCUCUUGUUGAAGUUUCAAAUGCAUUGAUAUUAAAAAAAAAA